rnacentral:rRNA from 1 species
CCUACGGGUGGCAGCAGUGGGGAAUAUUGCACAAUGGGGGAAACCCUGAUGCAGCAACGCCGCGUGAGCGAUGAAGGCCUUCGGGUCGUAAAGCUCUGUCCUAAGGGAAGAAUACUGACGGUACCUUAGGAGGAAGCCCCGGCUAACUACGUGCCAGCAGCCGCGGUAAUACGUAGGGGGCUAGCGUCAUCCGGAAUUACUGGGCGUAAAGGGUGGGUAGGCGCCCAUUCAAGUCAGAGGUGAAGGGCUACGGCUCAACCGUAGUAAGCCUUUGAAACUGUAGGGCUUGAGUGCAGGAGAGGAGAGUGGCAUUCCCAGUGUGGCGGUGAAAUGCGUAGAUAUUUGGAGGAACGCCAGUUGCGAAGGCAGCUCUCUUGACUGUAACCGACGCUGAGGCACGAAAGCUGGGGGAGCGAACAGGAUUAGAUACCCUAGUAGUC